CAAUGUCUCUCAAAACUUCAACAUUCUUCGAUCCCAAAAAAACCCAGUAUUGCCAAGGACUCAGCUAGUCCUCAAAAGCUCAUCACAACUACUAUUCACCACCUGAAGUCAACUUCUCUCCCACUCACAGCUGCCACAUUGCCAUUUUUACUGGACACCAAGGCAAGUACAAAUUUAGUAAUUCAUUUCACUCUCAUUUUCUAGUUUCUGCAUGCAUUUCAAAAUCAGAACUUUACCCAUGUUCAUAUGUUCUUCUUCCAUUUCAAAUUUGGGUUUUUUAUUUUUUUAUUUUUUCAAUUUGUGGGUGUGGAUUAGGAUGCACUUGCUGUUGGUGGGGAGUUUGGAAUAUUGGAGGGAAGGACAUUUGCUUUGAUACACCCCAUUGCGAUGGGUGGUCUGUUUGUAUUCACAUUGUGGACAGGGUACUUGGGUUGGCAAUGGAGGAGAGUCAGGACAAUCCAGAAUGAAAUUAAUGAGCUCAAGAAGCAAGUUAAGCCUACCCCAGUUACACCAGAGGGGACACCAGUUGAAGAACCACCAUCUCCUUUUGCACUCAAAAUUCAGCAGCUCAGUGAGGUAGGCAUUUGACGGUCAGGAUUAUUUUAUGCUGAAUGCAAUGUAUAACAAUUGAAUGCAUGCUUAAUGCCAAGUAUGCAUUUUUAUUUCCAUGGAAUUAACUUACUUCUGGUGGGUUGAGAAACAAUGCACUUCAUGUUUUGGUCUUGUAUAUAUAAACCCUUCAUAGGAUGAAUUUGAUGUGCUAAAUUUGAAAAAAAUAGAUGGAAGGGUUGGCCAAAGUAACUAUAGUAUCAUUGUAAAUUAGUUUCAUUUAUGUAUUUGACAUUAAAUUUUGUGCAAUGUUUUUUCUGCUGUUAAGCAAAAAUUGGCAUUUCUGCAUAAACUAGUGUUUUAUCUCUUGAAUGUUUACUUCAUGAGAAUGUAUGAUGUGUUGGCAUUUCCUUAUCAGGAAAGGAAGGAGUUGGUGAAGGGGUCUUACCGGGAUAGACACUUCAAUGCCGGUUCAAUAUUGUUGGCUUUCGGAGUUUUCGAGUCCAUUGGUGGAGGAGUGAACACAUGGUUUAGGACAGGAAAGCUAUUUCCAGGUCCCCAUUUGUUUGCAGGAGCAGGUAAAAU
rnacentral:lncRNA from 1 species